rfam:Camelus ferus unplaced genomic scaffold scaffold2485, whole genome shotgun sequence.
GAGGGUAUAGCUCAAGUGGUAGAGUGCAUGCUUAAGAAUGCACCAGGUCCUGGGUUCAAUCCCCAGUACCUCCA